UACGUAGGGAGCUAGCGUUGUCCGGAAUCAUUGGGCGUAAAGCGCGCGUAGGCGGCCCGGUAAGUCCGCUGUGAAAGUCAAAGGCUCAACCUUUGAAUGUCAGCGGAUACUGCCGGGCUAGAGUCCGGAAGAGGCGAGUGGAACUCCUGGUGUAGCGGUGGAAUGCGCAGAUAUCAGGAGGAACACCGAUGGCGAAGGCAGAUCUCUGGGCCGUAACUGACGCUGAGGAGCGAAAGCAUGGGGAGCGAACAGG
rnacentral:rRNA from 1 species